CCUACGGGUGGCAGCAGUGAGGAAUAUUGGUCAAUGGGCGGAAGCCUGAACCAGCCAAGUCGCGUGAGGGAGUAAGGCCCUAUGGGUUGUAAACCUCUUUUGUCAGGGAGCAAUUGGCGCUACGUGUAGCGUUAUCGAGAGUACCUGAAGAAUAAGCAUCGGCUAACUCCGUGCCAGCAGCCGCGGUAAUACGGAGGAUGCGAGCGGUAUCCGGAUUUAUUGGGUUUAAAGGGUGCGUAGGCGGAAUGCCAAGUCAGCGGUAAAAGCGCGGGCCUCAACCUCGCUCCGCCGUUGAAACUGGCGUUCUUGAGUGGGCGAGAAGUAUGCGGAAUGCGUGGUGUAGCGGUGAAAUGCAUAGAUAUCACGCAGAACUCCGAUUGCGAAGGCAGCAUACCGGCGCCCAACUGACGCUGAAGCACGAAAGCGUGGGUAUCGAACAGGAUUAGAUACCCCAGUAGUC
rnacentral:rRNA from 1 species